UACGGAGGGAGCGUAGCGUUGCUCGGAAUUAUUGGGCGUAAAGCGCACGUAGGCGGUCCAGCAAGUCGGGUGUGAAAGCCCUCGGCUUAACCGAGGAAGUGCAUUCGAAACUACUGGACUUGAAUACUGAAGAGGAUCGCGGAAUUCCCGGUGUAGAGGUGAAAUUCGUAGAUAUCGGGAGGAACACCAGUGGCGAAGGCGGCGAUCUGGGCAGAUAUUGACGCUGAUGUGCGAAAGCGUGGGGAGCAAACGGG
rnacentral:rRNA from 1 species